rnacentral:rRNA from 1 species
GCCCUACGGGGGGCAGCAGUGGGGAAUAUUGCACAAGGGGGGAAACCCUGAUGCAGCGACGCCGCGUGAGUGAAGAAGUAUUUCGGUAUGUAAAGCUCUGUCAGCAGGGAAGAAAAUGACGGUACCUGACCAAGAAGCCCCGGCUAACUCCGUGCCAGCAGCCGCGGUAAUACGGAGGGUGCGAGCGUUAAUCGGAAUUACUGGGCGUAAAGCGCACGUAGGCUGUAUGACAAGUCAAGGUUGAAAUGCCACGGCUCAACCGUGGAACUGCCUUUGAAACUGUCAACCUGGAGUAUGUGAGAGGG